rnacentral:rRNA from 1 species
AUUGAACGCUGGCGGCAGGCCUAACACAUGCAAGUCGAACGGUAACAGGAAGCAGCUUGCUGCUUCGCUGACGAGUGGCGGACGGGUGAGUAAUGUCUGGGAAACUGCCUGAUGGAGGGGGAUAACUACUGGAAACGGUAGCUAAUACCGCAUAACGUCGCAAGACCAAAGAGGGGGACCUUAGGGCCUCUUGCCAUCGGAUGCGCCCAGAUGGGAUUAGCUAGUAGGUGGGGUAACGGCUCACCUAGGCGACGAUCCCUAGCUGGUCUGAGAGGAUGACCAGCCGCACUGGAACUGAGACACGGUCAAGACGCCUAAGGGAGGCAGCAGUGGGGAAUAUGGCACAAUGGGCGCAAGCCUGAUGCAGCCAUGCCGCGUGUACGAAGAAGGCCUUCGGGUUGUAAAGUACUUUCAGCGGGGAGGAAGGGAGUAAAGUUAAUACCUUUGCUCAUUGACGUUACCCGCAGAAGAAGCACCGGCUAACUCCGUG